rnacentral:rRNA from 1 species
AGUGAACGCUGGCGGCGUGCCUAAUACAUGCAAGUCGAACGGAGUGGCGCACGGGUGAGUAAUAUAUAGCUAAUCUGCCCCUUGCUGGAGGUAAACAGUUAGAAAUGACUGCUAAUACUCCUUAGCAAGGGAUGAGACUAUAUCGUAUCAGCUAGUCGGUGGGGUAACGGCCUACCGAGGCUAUGACGCGUAACUGGUCUGAGAGGAUGAUCAGUCAAAUUGGAACGGAGGCACGGUCGAAACUCAUACGAGAGGGAGCAGUAGGGAAUAGUGCGCAAGGGGGGAAAACCUGACGGAGCAACGCGGCGUGGAGGAUGACACUUGUCGGAGCGGAAACUCAGUUUGUUAGGGAAGCGGUACCUAACGAAUAAGCACCGGCUAACUCCGUGCCAGCAGCCGCGGUAAUUC